UGUUAACGGUUUCUGAUCAGAGCGCGGUGGGGUGAACUCUGACCCCGAGGCGCCGCCCUCCGGCUCUCAGCGGUACUGCAGCACUGUCCUUCACACAACAGUUAUAGAUCAUAUACACAGACAUAUUCACCUUCACACAGCAUUAUAUAUCAUGUACACAGACAUAUUCACCUUCACACAUCAGUUACAUAUCAUGUACACAGACAUAUUCACCUUCACACAUCAGUUAUAAAUCAUGUACACAGACAUAUUCACCUUCACACAGCAGUUAUAAAUCAUGUACACAGACAUAUUCACCUUCACACAGCAGUUAUAGAUCAUGUAUACAGUUCAAAGCGCUUUUCUGUGUUUAUUACGAACGCUGUUCACACUCACAACAGUAAUUGUCACACAUCGACAGUGUUUAUCUCGUUACUGACCUCAUGAGAUACUCUCUGAACUCUUUACCACGGACAUAAUCCACGGCUUUCCGCGCCAGAGUGCCAGCCAUCGUCAGUCAAGAGAUGAUACAAGGACGCAGUGAAGUCUACAGUAAACUCUACUCGCUGCUGCAGCUACCAGACGUCAA